GACCACAGAGAUCCUUGAGCAGCCACCUAGAAUCAUCACCCUUUCUCAGAGCCCCAUGGUGCCUGGUGGGAGAGCCAUGCCCCUCAGGCGUGUUGGGACAACAAACUGAUUGAGAAUCGAGGCCUUACGGGGG
rnacentral:lncRNA from 12 species